AGUGAACGCUGGCGGUAGGCCUAACACAUGCAAGUCGAACGGCAGCACAGUAAGAGCUUGCUCUUACGGGUGGCGAGUGGCGGACGGGUGAGGAAUACAUCGGAAUCUACUUUUUCGGGGGGGAUAACGUAGGGAAACUUACGCUAAUACCGCAUACGACCUACGGGUGAAAGCAGGGGAUCUUCGGACCUUGCGCGAUUGAAUGAGCCGAUGUCGGAUUAGCUAGUUGGCGGGGUAAAGGCCCACCAAGGCGACGAUCCGUAGCUGGUCUGAGAGGAUGAUCAGCCACACUGGAACUGAGACACGGUCCAGACUCCUACGGGAGGCAGCAGUGGGGAAUAUUGGACAAUGGGCGCAAGCCUGCUCCAGCCCUACCGCGUGGGUGAAGAAGGCCUUCGGGUUGUAAAGCCCUUUUGUUGGGAAAGAAAAGCAUCAGGUUAAUACCCCGCUGUUCUGACGGUACCCAAAGAAUAAGCACCGGCUAACUUCGUG
rnacentral:rRNA from 1 species